rnacentral:lncRNA from 1 species
ACUGAGUAACUGUCAUUUUUUUGACUGACGACUGGCAAUCACUUUCUAACAGGCAAGAGAGAAUUGAUGGUUUCUUUCCCAGUGAAUCACUUGCCGAAUGGAUUGAUCCUGAGUUAUAGCUGAACAGAAUGAAAUGUGACCACUGAGAUGCAAUUCUUCCUGUAACAUAAACACAGAUAAUUCAGACUAAAUACCUUGGUGUAGGAGGCCACAAUGAAGAGGAAUAAACACCAGACCAGGAAUGAAGAGACUGGAUUCUGACACUAUGCUAUGCGUAUGUCCUUAGCUGAAUCGUCUCUGUGGCAGAGAGACUUCCUUGACAUUUAUGAUCAGAUUAUAUCAAAAGGAAACUCAGAGACUGAUAUGAAUAUUAAUAGAAGUAUUUUUACCUGUGGUGCUUGCAAGAGAAUCCAACCUUUGGAAGAACUGGACUUCAUAUAUAAAUAAUUUGUGUGAAUGAACCUGAUAUGACUGAAGAUGUCUAUGGGCAAGAGGGCCAAGAUUGCAGAAAAUGGAGCAGAAGAUGGGCUGUAGAGCAGCAAGGAAGACACAUGAGACAGAGACACGGACUGAUAUACUAAGGUACACCUUCUAAGGAGAGAGAGUCCUUUGCUGCUUGGCACCUACAGGAUCUGAGCUUUUAUUGAAUAGCUCUGAAAGGAAAAGUCUUAUCAAAGAAGACAAAACUCUUUUCCCCUUUUGAAUUCAAUGAUUCAAUGGUCCAAAGGCAGAGCAAAGGAGAAUUUUUAAGGUAUUUUAAAGAGAAUAAUAGAGAGAAGGAUGAGAGAGAUUUGAAGAGCUGCUAUGAAGACUGUGCAAAUGGAUGUAUAGAUGAGAUUUUUACAAUAUUUUGAUGUCUGUAAUAACACAGGCUUCCUUAUUUUGCCUCUUUAAGAGGCUCCAGUAAAUACUGUUUCUUUGAAUGACACUGAGCAUGAAAUGGCUUUUAUUGGAUUAAAUGCAUUUUACCAGCUUUUAGCUUUUCCAGUGGCCAUCCC